rnacentral:rRNA from 1 species
UACGGAGGGUGCGAGCGUUGUCCGGAAUCAUUGGGCGUAAAGGGCGCGUAGGUGGCCCGGUCAGUUCGUGGUGAAAGCGCGGGGCUCAACCCUGCGUCGGCCAUGAAUACUGCCGCGGCUGGAGCACUGUAGAGGCAGGCGGGAAUUCCCGGUGUAGGCGGUGAAAUGCGCAGAUAUCGGGAAGAACACCCGUGGCGAAGGCGGUUCGACUGGGAC